GCCUACGGGAGGCAGCAGUGGGGAAUAUUGCACAAUGGGGGAAACCCUGAUGCAGCAACGCCGCGUGAGUGAUGACGGUCUUCGGAUUGUAAAACUCUAUCUUCAGGGACGAUAAUGACGGUACCUGAGGAGGAAGCCACGGCUAACUACGGACCAGCAGCCGCGGUAAUGAUGUA
rnacentral:rRNA from 1 species